UACGGAGGGUGCAAGCGUUGUCCGGAAUCACUGGGCGUAAAGGGCGCGUAGGCGGCUCAUGAAGGCUGUGGUGAAAGUCCGGGGCUCAACCUCGGAUCGGCCGUGGCGACUCGUGGGCUGGAGCACUGUAGAGGCGGGUGGAAUUCCGGGUGUAGCGGUGGAAUGCGUAGAGAUCCGGAAGAACACCAGUGGCGAAGGCGGCCCGCUGGGCAGUGGCUGACGCUGAGGCGCGACAGGCGUGGGGAGCAAACAGG
rnacentral:rRNA from 1 species